GUGAUCAAGGGAUAGACAUCUUGGAAGAUGAUUUUUUUAGGCUUCUUGGUGAUUUUGACGUCAGUCCAAGCUGUGUCUGUGCCUACCUUCUCCCCCGUGUAUGAGCUGAAGGUGGGGUACGGAGACAAUGUCACCCUCCCCUGUAACUUUUCCUCCUACCUGGGCCAGGAGGAUGAGGGGGAGGUCCGCUGGGAGGCCAUGGGGCAGGAGGUGGCCUCUAUGGAGGUUGGGAACAUCCUUGGUGAGGCCAGAUGGGACGACGGCGCCAAGGGGUUGGAGGUCAAAACGACACUGGGGUUCUCUUCCCGGGUGGAAUUCCCCCCAGCAGAGAGGAUGAGAGAUGGAGACUUCUCUAUGACCAUCCAGGAGACAGUGCUGAGCGAUGAGGAAAUGUACGAGUGUAUCUGGCUGGGCCGCAAGACCAUCUCUACAGUCUGGCUCAAGGUUCAGGAGCCCGACCCUCCACGCUCUAUCACGCUGUUCAAGGGAAGCCCGGUCACUCUGCCCUGCUACGGUGUCAUCCCCAAGACCCAGCCCACCAGCCAGAUCUACGUCCAAUGGCUGAAGGACGAUGUGGAGAUCAUGACCCUUAACCCUGGCCCAGACGACAAGGGACCUAAGGAAGAAGACCUCCGUCUCUCUCUCCCACCCAACAACCUGCUGGAGAACGGUGACCUGUCCUUGUAUAUCUACAAGACGGAGCUCAAAGACCAGGGAGUCUAUCGCUGCUUCUACAAGUCCAGGGGCUUCGAGGACCCUAAGAGUGGGAUACCAGAGGGUGUCUCUCUCACCAUCCUAGAUCCAUACACUGACCUAUAUAACUUAACAGGAACAGAGAAUGUCACCAGUAGCUCAGACUUUAGUGGGACUAGUGGUGACAGUGAGAACCCAAUAACAUUCUUCACUUUGGUGACCCAAGAUAAGGAGGAUAUGCAAGUGACAUCAUCUGAGCCAAUACUAGUGCAGACAGAGAUGACACCAUCAUCACCUGACACAACCUUUGAGGAUCCAGAAGACGUGUUGGCAGUGUGGGCAAAGACCCUUCCGCUGGUGCGUAUCGGGAUAAUCACCGUGGUUCUGCUGGUUACAGCUCUGAUCUUCUUCCCUCUGCUGGUUCUCAACAAGAUCCCAUCCUAGACCCACAUUAGGGUAGAGAGGGUAGACCCAAGGGUUAGGGCAAAGUCAUUCAAUUAUGGCUCUGGAGGGCUGAAAAACAUUUUCAUUCUCUUUUAAUCAGACUGAUUCAGAUUUGGGUCUAUCGGGUGACUCUUGGCCAAUCAAUUACAUCCAUUGAUAAUUCACUCAGGGCUAGUAACUUUUUAAAGUGUAUACAGUGCAUUUGUAAAGUAUUCAGACCUUUGUUUUUUCCACAUUUUGUUACGUUACAGGCUUAUUCUAAAAUAUAUUACAUUAUUUUUUGUCUCAUCAAUCUACACACAAUACCCCAUUAUGACAAAUUGAAAACAGGUUUUGAGACAUUUUUGCAAAUGUUUAAAAAAACAUAGCUUAUUUACAUAAGUAUUCAGACCCUUUGGGAUGAGACUCGAAAUUGAGCUCAGGUGCAUCCUGUUUCAAUUGAUCAUCCUUAAGAUGUUUCUACAACUUGUUUGGAGUCCAUCUAUGCUAAAUUAAAAUUAAUUGGACGUGAUUUGGAAAGGCAUACACCUGUCUGUAAAGUCCCACAGUUGACAGUGCAUGUCAGAGCAAAAACCAAGCCAUGAGGUCGAAGGAAUUGUCCGUAGAGCUCUGAAACCGGAUUGUGUCGAGGCACAUUUCUGGGGAAGGGCACCAACAAAUGUCUGCAGCAUUGAAGGUCCCCAAGAACACAGUGGCCUCCAUCAUUCUUAAACGGAAGAAGUUUGGAACCACCAAGACUCUUCCUAGAGCUGACCUCCCGGCCAAACUGAGCAAUCGGGGGAGAAGAGCCUUAGUCAGGGAGGUGACCAAGAACCCAAUGGUCACUCUGACAGAGCUCCAGAAUUCCUCUGUGGAGAUGGGAGAACCAUCAGGAGGUACAACCAUCUCUGCAGCAUUCCACCAAUCAGGCCUUUAUGGUAGAGUGGCCAGACCGAAGCCACUCCUCAGUAAAAGUCAAGACACAAAAGACACCUAAAGGACUCUCAGACCAUGAGAUACAAGAUUAUCUGGUCUGAUGAAACCAAGAUUGAACUAUUUGGCCUGAAUGCCAAGUGUCACGUCCGGAGGAAACCUGGAACCAUCCGUACGGUGAAGCAUGGUGGUGGCAGCAUCAUGCUGUGGGGAUGUUUUUCAGCGGCCGGGACUGGGAGACUAGUCAGGAUCGAGGGAAAGAUGAACGGUGCAAAGUACAGACAGAUCUUUGAUGAAAACCUGCUCCAGAGCGCUCAGGACCUCAAACUAGGGCGAAGAUUCACCUUCCAACGGGACGACGACCCUAAGCACACAGCCAAGACAGCACAGGCGUGGCUUCGGGACAAGUCUGUGAAUGUCCUUCAGUGGCCCAGCCAGAGCCCGGACUUGAACCCACUCUAACAUCUCUGCUGAGGCCUGAAAAUAGCUGUGCAGCGACGCUCCCCACCCAACCUGACAGAGCUUGAGAGGAUCUCCAGAGAAGUAUGGGAGAAACUCCCCAACUACAUUUAUGCCAAGCUUUUUGCUUUGUCACUAUGGGGUAUUGUGUGUAGAUUGAUAAGGGGAAGAAAAACUAAUUAAUCCAUUUUAGUUUAAGGCUGCAACGUAACAAAAUACAAAUGCACUGUAUAUGUGAAUAGUCUGAAAAUGCUACAUUAUCUUAGCCACAUUAAAGCUACAGCCUCUAUGCAUUUGUCCUCUGCGAUGCUGGAUCAACCCCUCAUCUGAGCUGCCAGUGAGAAGUCUGAGAUCGUUUGAUGAUGUCUGCCCUGCUACGUCCGCUGAAUGCUUUGGAGGUUGUGUAUUGGAAUGUGGGAUUGGACUCAAGGGCUCAGAUGAACCCUGCUAUGCUCUGUCCUUAUAUAGUAUUCCUAUUAAUAUCUCUGCCUUGGAAUGAUGACAAGGGCGGGGAGACAGUCUUCAAAUACUGAACUGCACCAUUUGAAAACACAGUAUUGGAUGUACAAUAAACGUGUGUUGCGAGCGCAUUGCAAAUAAACAUUAAAUACAUG
ensembl:lncRNA uncharacterized LOC115179705